GCCGGAGUGGCGGAAUUGGUAGACGCGCAUGUUUCAGGGACAUGUGGCCCUUCGGCCGUGUGGGUUCAAGUCCCACCUCCGGCA
rnacentral:tRNA from 1 species